rnacentral:rRNA from 1 species
CCCCAGGUCAGGCGGGACUACCCGCUGAGUUUAAGCAUAUCAAUAAGCGGAGGAAAAGAAACUUACGAGGAUUCCCCUAGUAACGGCGAGCGAACCGGGAACAGCCCAGCUUAAAAUCGGCGG